rnacentral:sRNA from 1 species
UCCCGCGGGCACAUUGGGAGUUGUAGUCUAAUUAUAUAUUUCCGCCCUUAGUGUGGGGAGAGCGGGAACUACUCGACCCACAGAGCCGAUCGCGGAGCGGAUUCUGCUUUUAGGAGUACCCGCCAACAAGCGGGACCGAGCAGGAAUCCGUAUCUGGGAACAGAAUGAACGGAGACCAGAAUUCAGAUGUUUAUGCCCAAGAAAAGCAGGAUUUCGUUCAGCACUUCUCCCAGAUCGUUAGGGUGCUGACUGAGGAUGAGAUGGGGCACCCAGAGAUAGGAGAUGCUAUUGCCCGGCUCAAGGAGGUCCUGGAGUACAAUGCCAUUGGAGGCAAGUAUAACCGGGGUUUGACGGUGGUAGUAGCAUUCCGGGAGCUGGUGGAGCCAAGGAAACAGGAUGCUGAUAGUCUCCAGCGGGCCUGGACUGUGGGCUGGUGUGUGGAACUGCUGCAAGCUUUCUUCCUGGUGGCAGAUGACAUCAUGGAUUCAUCCCUUACCCGCCGGGGACAGAUCUGCUGGUAUCAGAAGCCAGGCGUGGGUUUGGAUGCCAUCAAUGAUGCUAACCUCCUGGAAGCAUGUAUCUACCGCCUGCUGAAGCUCUAUUGCCGGGAGCAGCCCUAUUACCUGAACCUGAUCGAGCUCUUCCUGCAGGUGUAUUGCAGACAGGGCCCGAUGCCCAGAGGGUGCUCAUGGUAGCCUUGGCCUCUAUAGGACAUGCUCAUCUAGCUGGUUUCAGGGUACAGGAUUGCAGCGUGCCUGGAAGGGAAAGAAAGCGAGGAAGGGUGUUGGGAAGUGGGGUUGUGGUAGUGGCAAGAAAGGGCUUCUCUGUCCUGUGUAAUUGGAAGAAAGGGUGAUAAAGGACUGUGUGUAUGAAUAUGGGCCUUGAGUUUUGGGGCUUUCUCCCCUUCUGUUGCCUUUCUGAUUCUGCCCAGUUGUCAGCUGGUAUGGGAUGUUGGGCUUGGGAUACCAGGGUUUCGCAUAUCUGGAGAAAGCCUGGCUCAUGGACCGUCUUUGUCUUGCUUA